rnacentral:rRNA from 1 species
AUUGAACGCUGGCGGCAGGCCUAACACAUGCAAGUCGAGCGGAUGACGGGAGCUUGCUCCUUGAUUCAGCGGCGGACGGGUGAGUAAUGCCUAGGAAUCUGCCUGGUAGUGGGGGACAACGUUUCGAAAGGAACGCUAAUACCGCAUACGUCCUACGGGAGAAAGCAGGGGACCUUCGGGUCUUGCGCUGUCAGAUGAGCCUAGGUCGGAUUAGCUAGUUGGUGGGGUAAUGGCUCACCAAGGCGACGAUCCGUAACUGGUCUGAGAGGAUGAUCAGUCACACUGGAACUGAGACACGGUCCAGACUCCUACGGGAGGCAGCAGUGGGGAAUAUUGGACAAUGGGCGAAAGCCUGAUCCAGCCAUGCCGCGUGUGUGAAGAAGGUCUUCGGAUUGUAAAGCACUUUAAGUUGGGAGGAAGGGCAGUAAGCUAAUACCUUGCUGUUUUGACGUUACCGACAGAAUAAGCACCGGCUAACUCUGUGCCAGCCGCCGCGGUAA